AUACGGAGGGUGCGAGCGUUAAUCGGAAUUACUGGGCGUAAAGGGUGCGUAGGCGGCUUGAUAAGUCGGAUGUGAAAGCCCCGGGCUUAACCUGGGAAUUGCAUUCGAUACUGUCAGGCUAGAGUAUGUCAGAGGUUGGCGGAAUUCCUGGUGUAGCGGUGAAAUGCGUAGAUAUCAGGAGGAACACCAGUGGCGAAGGCGGCUAACUGGGGCAAUACUGACGCUGAGGCACGAAAGCGUGGGGAGCAAACAGGAUUAGAUACCCUGGUAGUCC
rnacentral:rRNA from 1 species